UCUUCCCUCUGGCGGCGUGCUUAACACAUGCAAGUCGAACGGAAAGGCUCCUGCUUGCAGGGGUACUCGAGUGGCGAACGGGUGAGUAACACGUGGGUGAUCUGCCCUGCACUUCGGGAUAAGCUUGGGAAACUGGGUCUAAUACCGGAUAGGACCGCAUUUUGGAUGGUGUGGUGGAAAGUUUUUUCGGUGUGGGAUGAGCUCGCGGCCUAUCAGCUUGUUGGUGGGGUAAUGGCCUACCAAGGCGUCGACGGGUAGCCGGCCUGAGAGGGUGUACGGCCACAUUGGGACUGAGAUACGGCCCAGACUCCUACGGGAGGCAGCAGUGGGGAAUAUUGCACAAUGGGCGCAAGCCUGAUGCAGCGACGCCGCGUGGGGGAUGACGGCCUUCGGGUUGUAAACUCCUUUCGCUAGGGACGAAGAGUAAUUGACGGUACCUGGAGAAGAAGCACCGGCUAACUACGUG
rnacentral:rRNA from 1 species